rnacentral:rRNA from 1 species
GACGAACGCUGGCGGCGUGCUUAACACAUGCAAGUCGAACGGAAAGGCCCUGCUUUUGUGGGGUGCUCGAGUGGCGAACGGGUGAGUAACACGUGAGUAACCUGCCCUUGACUUUGGGAUAACUUCAGGAAACUGGGGCUAAUACCGGAUAGGAGCUCCUGCUGCAUGGUGGGGGUUGGAAAGUUUCGGCGGUUGGGGAUGGACUCGCGGCUUAUCAGCUUGUUGGUGGGGUAGUGGCUUACCAAGGCUUUGACGGGUAGCCGGCCUGAGAGGGUGACCGGCCACAUUGGGACUGAGAUACGGCCCAGACUCCUACGGGGGGCAGCAGUGGGGAAUAUUGCACAAUGGGCGGAAGCCUGAUGCAGCAACGCCGCGUGCGGGAUGACGGCCUUCGGGUUGUAAACCGCUUUCGCCUGUGACGAAGCGUGAGUGACGGUAAUGGGUAGAGAAGCACCGGCUAACUACGUG